rnacentral:rRNA from 1 species
CCUACGGGGGGCAGCAGUGAGGAAUAUUGGUCAAUGGUCGGGAGACUGAACCAGCCAAGCCGCGUGAGGGAUGAAGGUACAGAGUAUCGUAAACCUCUUUUGUCAGGAAACAAAGGCGGGGACGUGUCCCCGGAUGAGUGUACCUGAAGAAAAAGCAUCGGCUAACUCCGUGCCAGCAGCCGCGGUAAUACGGAGGAUGCGAGCGUUCUCCGGAUUUAUUGGGUUUAAAGGGUGCGCGGGCGGUCUGUUAAGUCAGCGGUAAAAGCCCGGGGCUCAACCCCGGCCCGCCGUUGAAACUGGCAGUCUCGAGUUGGAGAGAAGUAUGCGGAAUGCGCGGUGUAGCGGUGAAAUGCAUAGAUAUCGCGCAGAACUCCGAUUGCGAAGGCAGCAUGCCGGCUCCACACUGACGCUGAGGCACGAAAGCGUGGGUAUCGAACAGGAUUAGAUACCCUUGUAGUC